ensembl:lncRNA
UUGUUGGAAUGCAUUGAGAUGCAUUCCAAGUAUUGUUCUUCGAAUCUUUAUUCCGACUUAUUUUUCUAUUUCUUCCGCGCCCCCUUUCAACUCCUUCACAUUUUCAGCUAUUAAAAUCCUUCAAAUAUUAAAAUGUUCAGCUCCUUUCUGGCUUGAGGGCUAUGACUUUUCAGCUUUCUACCUCUUAUGCUUGAAUUUAUAUAAAUCAAUAAUCAUUAAUAUUUUAACAUGGUUUUCAAAUGGAGUUUGCUUUCAAAUCCUCCUAAACUUCUUCAACUUUCAGAUUUUUCAGCUUUGCAAAUCUUUCAGCUACAGACACCAUUUCAACUCUCAAAUGUUCACACAAGUCUCAACUAUUUUAUGAAAAAAACUGCUUCUUGAUAUCUAUUGUACUUUUUUCAUAAUCACUGAUUAAGUUUCACUAGUUUUUCGCUCCGUUUCUGACUUUUACAUGAGUGUGUAUUGCGUCUGCUAGAGGCGGGGCCUCGCAGGCUAGAGUGUGGGGCAUCGCAGAAAUCUGGUUUAAAAAGUAUGGAACUUCUGUCCUUGCAGCCAAAGUAUACACUCUAGAGGCUUCAUUUCUUCAGAUUAAUGAGGGUAUGGUUGUGCUGAUUGGAUUAAUGUGUUCAUGGAAUCCCAGAGUUUUUUAGUUUUGGCGCAAGGAGUGUUUGAGUGACACAACCUCUGCCAAAAGCCCCAUAGGCUCCAAUACAAAUCUGCCGACAUAUUUCUCACAAAAAUCCACAAGGUACACGUUUUGUCAACGGCCAUAGGAGCCGUAUUUAUUACCGGACAGACAUAAAAACACAUCCACGCGUUCGGUAGAGUCUUGGGUCUCAUACAAACGCCGUAUUUUUUAGAUAGCUGUUAUAGUUUUGCGCUGGUUCUCAUUUGUUUGAGGUGUGGAUUCUGUGUAACUCGCUGUCCUGUGUCUGCACUUUUGCAGCCGCACAGGUGCGCCGUUGCCGUGGUUACUCGUAAACACGCUGCAGUAUCUCUGUGUGUGACUCACAGCUGCUCCAAUGACGUGAUUAGUGGAGUCACAUGACGCAGCUAUGCUUUCUGUCAACAGACCAAUAUGAUAAAGACACUCGCCCCCCCUCCCCCCUCCACCCUGACCUCUACUC